ACCUUUGUCUAACAAUGAAUUUAUUAGCUAUAUAUUAACUGGUCUUGGGUUAGAAUAUGACUCUCUCAUUACUUCUCUUACAACCAGGUUUGACCCGAUGUCUCUUCAAGAAGUAUAUGGUCACCUUCUUACCUAUGAGC